rnacentral:rRNA from 1 species
CUCUCGGUUUGAUAUGCUGAGUGGCGGACGGGUGAGUAACGCGUGGGUACCUGCCUUGUACUGGGGGAUAGCAGCUGGAAACGGCUGGUAAUACCGCAUAAGGUUGCAUGACAAAAACUCCGGUGGUAUAAGAUGGACCCGCGUCUGAUUAGCUAGUUGGUGAGAUAACAGCCCACCAAGGCGACGAUCAGUAGCCGACCUGAGAGGGUGACCGGCCACAUUGGGACUGAGACACGGCCCAGACUCCUACGGGAGGCAGCAGUGGGGAAUAUUGCACAAUGGAGGAAACUCUGAUGCAGCGACGCCGCGUGAGUGAAGAAGUAAUUCGUUAUGUAAAGCUCUAUCAGCAGGGAAGAUAGUGACGGUACCUGACUAAGAAGCUCCGGCUAAAUACGUGCCAGCAGCCGCGGUAAUACGUAUGGAGCAAGCGUUAUCCGGAUUUACUGGGUGUAAAGGGGGUGUAGGUGGCCAUGCAAGUCAGAAGUGAAAAUCCGGGGCUCAACCCCGGAACUGCUUUUGAAACUGUAAGGCUGGAGUGCAGGAGGGGUGAGUGGAAUUCCUAGUGUAGCGGUGAAAUGCGUAGAUAUUAGGAGGA